CCUACGGGGGCAGCAGUGGGGAAUAUUGGACAAUGGGCGAAAGCCUGAUCCAGCCAUGCCGCGUGUGUGAAGAAGGCCUUCGGGUUGUAAAGCACUUUCAGUGGGGAAGAAAGCCUUGGGGCUAAUACCCUCGAGGAAGGACAUCACCCACAGAAGAAGCACCGGCUAACUCCGUGCCAGCAGCUGCGGUAAUACGGAGGGUGCGAGCGUUAAUCGGAAUUACUGGGCGUAAAGCGCGCGUAGGCGGUCUGAUAAGCCGGUUGUGAAAGCCCGGGGCUCAACCUGGGAACGGCAUCCGGAACUGUCAGGCUAGAGUGCAGGAGAGGAAGGUAGAAUUCCCGGUGUAGCGGUGAAAUGCGUAGAGAUCGGGAGGAAUACCAGUGGCGAAGGCGGCCUUCUGGACUGACACUGACGCUGAGGUGCGAAAGCGUGGGUAGCAAACAGGAUUAGAUACCCCAGUAGUC
rnacentral:rRNA from 1 species